AUAAAUUAAUUUAAUAAAUAAUAAUAAAAUUAAUUUAAAAUCACAGUUACUGACUUAUUGGUAGAUACUGACUAAAGACCAAAGCCGAUACGUAUAAACGCAACUAUAUUGUACUUAUAUUAUCGUACGAUAUAAGCAAGUGAAAUAGUAAAACCGAACUGUAUAAAUUGUCGAGUUUAGCUGGUUCUCUCUUUACUUGUGCCGACAAGUACAUUCAGAUAAGUAGGGGUACAACGUAGAACCAGGGCCGUAACAUUUGCAAUAUAAAGCACCAAUUAAUAUAUAUGUUAAAUUGAUGAUUGCAAUUUAAAUUGAUUUAUUUAUAAAAUUGUCAACUACUACCACCAGAGCUUGUAAGAAUGAAGUCUCUCAUUCAAAAUUACUAUUUGAAUUGUUAAUCACAGAUAACGCACUUUCCCGGUAAUUAUCACUGGAAUGCCAAUCGACGUAACAUCGGAUGAUCCGCGACGUCACGUAGUGCAGUAUUGAUUUAAAUUUUGAAAAAAAUGGCGGGAAAU